GUGAAUCAUCGAAUCUUUGAACGCAUAUUGCACUCUCUGGGAUUCCGGAGAGUAUGCCUAUGUGAGGGUCUUUUGAAAUAAUAUAAAUUCCAAGCUUUCUCGGGAUUUAAGAUAGUUUGUCCAUUUUUUGUGGUCUCCUAAAAUCCAAGACAAGCUCAUUUUCUGGGUUUGCGUGAUACUUUCAGUUACCUCGUGACUUAACCAGGAGUCAUCGAUCGUUUUAUGACUUUUUCAUGA
rnacentral:misc_RNA from 1 species